AAGGCAACUGGCGGAGUGGCGGCUCCACCAGAGCCUGGGAGCUGCCCCCGCCCCCGAGCCGCGAGCCCCGCGCCGGGCCGGGGAGUCCCCGGCGCCACACGCCCCCACCACCCCCAUCUUAGCGCCCCCCACCCUCUAUGGAGACAUUUCAACCAGGGAGAAGGGAAGUCCUGCCCUUGCCCCUCGCCCCCGCCCUGCUCCUCCAACAGGGGAGACUUCUGUCCAAACCUUGGAAAGAAACGAGAUGCCAGGCCUAGCGCCUUCGGGGAUCCUCUCUGGACAAGGCCACAGGGUGAAAACACCAGCACAGUCUGGACCUGGGCGGACUUUUUGGAAAAGCUUCUGGAUGCCACGGACUCCACGACCAACCAACUAGGUUGCUGCUGCUUGCAAACAUCGCCUCCAUUGAAGGAUUCCUGCAGCCACCAGCUCUGGAACUUUCUGGAACCAAACAUUUCCCCAGACUGCCUACAAGGACCAAUUGGCCUCUGGAUGUAGGUGUGGCCUGCAGGGGUCCGGCAGGGCUCCCCAGAGUCAAGUGGACCCAGCCCUUUGGACCCCCUGCCCGGUCCUAUUGACCUCUGCUCUCUCCCUGCAGCACUUCCUGGAGGCGUUUGACCGGGACCUGGGAGGGCAGCUGAGAAGUGCCUGACCAUUCUCAAGGAGCUGCGUGGAUUCCAGACAUCUCUGGGCUGGUCUCUGGACCGGGAUGGGGGACCCAGAGGUGGAGCCGAACACACAAGCAGCACUUGAGGGCUCCGAGGGUGGCAAGGAGAGAAGUUCCUGCUCUGGUACAGCCCUGGGACCUUGAAAGACUGAAGCUAAGAAGUGCUGGAGACAGCAGUUGCUUUAGCCACAGGCUGUGUAGACCACCUGAGGAUGACCUGGGGGUCUGUUUUGUGCACCUUGGAACCCAUCGGAUCCCUCCAAUGACACAUUUGUCCAGAGCAAGACAAGAUCACACUUUGACAGCCCUCUGUCAAGAUCCUUGCUCCAAAUCUCCAGACUAGCAGCCAGGAGUCUCCAUGCUGUUCUGAAGAAGCAGAUUCCUCACCCACCCUUCAACUCCUUCCCAGGAGGUAAUCCUCCUCCAAAUCUCUGGAAAAGAUACACCUCCUCUUCUCUGAUAAAGGCUGGGGGGUGAUGCCCCUCCCCCAGUUUCCCAAUAAAGCUAUGCAAGACAGGAGCAAGGGAUCUCACGGCCUGUUUUUGCUACAAAAACCCUUUUUCGGAAAAAAUAAUAAAGAAAGGAAUCAGCCAAUCCCUCCUCGAUGCCAUCACCUCUUCUCGGUGAUUUUUCGGGGAAGGAGUGGGUGGGUUGCUAUGGCAACAGAUGCGAGCUCGUCUCAGUAAAGAAGGGACCUUGAUAUUUUUUUCUCUCUCUCAUUCUCUCAGUUGUGUGUGUGUGCGUGCAUGUGUAUGUGCGCCUGUGUGUGUGUGCAUGCGCGCUACACAUGCCUGUGCCCACACCAGGAAUUUUUUUUUUUUAGAACUAAAGAAAGCCCUUCUCUUCUCUCAGCUCUCCAAAUAUGGAGUGAUGGAAAACCACUUACUCCUGCAGGCCAGGGAGAAUUCAGGAUGAUUCAAGAGAAAAGGGAGAGGUCAUGUGGGGCUCCUUUCCUCCAUGUUUUUACUAGAGAUUGCAUGCAACAAGAGAGCUUUGCAAAUGGUUAGGGGGCCUUUGGAAAGAGGAGAAGAUGUUAGGUGGAAAGAGGUGAGCAAGAUAUAGAUGGUGCAGGAACUCAACGGGUGACCUCAGAGAGGGCAACAGAAGCUAUAUUGAGUCUGGGGACGCAUGUACAUCCCACCACACCAUCAGAUGCUGAAAGACCCAGAGCAGACUCAGAUAUGGACACAAACACAGACACUGACAGAAAGGCAUAUGGAAAAUUGUAGACAUAAAUACACACAGGCACAAACAUAGAACUGCACAGAACAUAGGAAGUUGGAGACAAAAAAAAAAGACAAGCAUAGAUGCAGGCAUAGGUAAACAUAGAUAUACAGGGGUACAGACUCGCAGCUACAAAGACACAUGCAAACAGAUAGAGAUGUAGACAUCCAACCACCUCCAGACAGGUUUGGAGGCAGACACACAGGACACACAAACACAGUCUCAGUCAAAUGAACACACACACACACAAACACACAGACACACACACAGAGUCUGGCUCUUUUCCUUCAAUUGCCCAAGCAUCCUUGAGCAGUAGUGCAUAGCUGAGGAUGCUGCACGCUUGCCCAGUAGGUUUGGCUGAGAGGCUUGCUCUCCCAUUCCUUCUACACGCUCACCCCAAAGCCCCUCUCCCAAUUCACUCCCUUGCCCACUUUCCCACAGCCAGCAGGCUCUGAUGCCUCCCCCAUCUCAGGCUUCUAAUUCUUAGCUUGUUCUGCUGCUGCCUGCCACUUGGGGGAGAGAGUGGGGUGACUCAGCCAGGCCAGGAUGACUCACACUGCCAGUAUUUUUAGCAGCGGCCAGGAGCUCUCUAGUGUGCCAGCCGCCCCCCUCCUCCUGCUUGCUAUUUCGGAACCGUCACUGGUGAUAUAAAUAGCUCCUCUCCCACGGCCUGAAGCUGCUGCCAAGCUAUUUUUGGUUCUGCACAGUUAAAAAUAGCUUCACGGAGGUGGGAGGCAAGGGGAGUGGGAGCUGGCCUAGGGAGAGGAGACAUUGGGGCACACAGAGCUUCUCAACUUGAAUCAGAGUGGGCGAACUAGGAUGAGCCCUUCUCUACCCCCUCCCUUGUCCCUUUCUAGACCCUUCUUCCCUUCCAAAGUGUUUCUUCCCAUUCCAUUCUCCUGGAAAAAGCCAGGGGCUCUUCCCCUGAGCCCAGUUCUCCUCCCUUGCUUACUUCACCCUUAGAGCCCAGAAAUCUUGGCCCCCUGCAAACCCUCCAUAUUCAUUCACAGAGAAUAAGGGGACAGUCAAAGAGUAGGCUCACUCUGAGGCCUGUGGGUACCCAAGCCCUACGUCGAUGUCCCCGGCAAACCGUAGCAUGACUUCCAUGGUGACUCUUUCAGCACCACGGACAGCGGUCGGCGCAGUAUUCCUUCACUGCAGAUUCGCUCAGAUUGCUGGAGGCCAUGACACCCAGCCAGUAGACUCCUCUUAUUGUGGAGGGGGACACUCAGAAUGCCUCACAGGCAGCUUUAGCAUCAGUGAAUGAAGAACACAGGAACAACCCCCCUGGAAUUUCAUACGGAAGGGGAUCCAAAGAUCAAGGGAUUGUUCAAAUGGAAGAUUGAGAGAGGGGUGGGUAGGUACAUUAGAGGUCAGAUUGAGAAGAAAGAAGCAACACAGACCCAUGUCCAGGAGGAAUCAUCUCUCUGUCAUCCAGGUCAAUGGGGUUAGAGACAGUGGCAGACAGAUAAGCGGACAUCGUUCCCUCCACCUCAGCUGUGACACUGACCACAGGAUGGCCCCAACCUCUGCCAAAAUGCAUAAGACACCAGAAUAGGGUCUCCACACCUUGUACACCUCUUCUAAGACAUACUUCUCCUCAGCCGCCUCUCCUCCCACUCUACCUCUCUUACUACCACCCCUUUCCAUGAGGAGCGGAGAGUUCCCUGGCCCCAAAUUGUCCUUUUUGAUGUCAAAGUUCAUCUCCAUGCUUCCUGUGUGACUGGGACUUCCCAGUCCCACCCUCCAAUUUUUAAGUGGCCUCAUUUCCAGCCACUUAAGUGAUUCCAUGCGCACACAGCUACUCCAUCAAACGAGAUUUCAGAUAAGAACAUUCCCUAGCCCACUUGCUUCUUGCAUUAUUGAAUCCCAGGAUAAGAACGGCACAUCCUCGCCCCUGUAGAGAGCAAUCAUCUGUGGUGAAAAGAGAAAAAAAGCGGGUGUGUGGGGGGGUGGGGAUAGGGCAAAGGUGACAGG
rnacentral:lncRNA from 1 species